rnacentral:rRNA from 1 species
UGGGGAAUUUUCUGCAAUGGGCGAAAGCCUGACAGAGCAAUACCGCGUGAGGGAUGACAGCCCUAUGGGUUGUAAACCUCUUUUUUCAGGGAGGAAGUUCUGACGUUACCUGAAGAAUAAGCAUCGGCUAACUCCGUG